AAGAUCCACGUCUGUGGGGGAGGAUGUAAGAACCACGUCUGUGGGGGAGGAUGUAAGAACCACGUCUGUGGGGGAGGAUGUAAGAACCACGUCUGUGAGGGAGGAUGUAAGAACCACGUCUGUGAGGGAGGAUGUAAGAACCACGUCUGUGGGGGAGGAUGUAAGAACCACGUCUGUGGGGGAGGAUGUAAGAACCACGUCUGUCAGGGAGGAUGUAAGACUACGUCUGUUGGGGAGGAUGUAAGAUCCACGUCUGUGGGGGAGGAUGUAAGAACCACGUCUGUGGGGGAGGAUGUAAGAACCACGUCUGUGAGGGAGGAUGUAAGAACCACGUCUGUGAGGGAGGAUGUAAGAACCACGUCUGUGGGGGAGGAUGUAACAACCACGUCUGUGGGGGAGGAUGUAAGAUCCACGUAUGUGGGGGAGGAUGUAAGAACCACGUCUAUGGGGAGGAUGUUAGAACCACGUCUGUGGGGGAGGAUGUAACAACCACGUCUGUGGGGAGGAUGUAAGAACCACGUCUGUGGGGGAGGAUGUAAGAACCACGUCUGUGGGUGAGGAUGUAAGAACUACGUCUGUGGGGGAGGAUGUAAGAACUGCGUCUGUGGGGGAGGAUGUAGGAACCACGUCUGUGAGGAAGGAUGAGAGAACCACGUCUGGUUGGGAAG